UACGGGGGGAGCAAGCGUUGUUCGGAUUUACUGGGCGUAAAGGGCGCGUAGGCGGCCACCGCAAGUCGACUGUGAAAUCUCCGGGCUUAACCCGGAAAGGUCAGCCGAUACUGCGGGGCUAGAGUGCAGAAGGGGCAACUGGAAUUCUCGGUGUAGCGGUGAAAUGCGUAGAUAUCGAGAGGAACACCGGUGGCGAAGGCGGGUCUCUGGGCAACAACUGACGCUGAGGAGCGAAAGCGUGGGGAGCGAACAGG
rnacentral:rRNA from 1 species